rnacentral:rRNA from 1 species
GAUGAACGCUGGCGGCGUGCCUAAUACAUGCAAGUCGAGCGAACAGACGAGGAGCUUGCUCCUCUGACGUUAGCGGCGGACGGGUGAGUAACACGUGUAUAACCUACCUAUAAGACUGUGAUAACUUCGGGAAACCUGAGCUAAUACCGGAUAAUAUAUUGAACCGCAUGGUUCAAUAGUGAAAGACGGUUUUGCUGUCACUUAUAGAUGGAUCCGCGCCUCAUUAGCUAGUUGGUAAGGUAACGGCUUACCAAGGCAACGAUGCGUAGCCGACCUGAGAGGGUGAUCGGCCACACUGGAACUGAGAAACGGUCCAGACACCUACGGGAGGCAGCAGUAGGGAAUCUUCCGAAAUGGGCGAAAGCCUGACGGAGCAACGCCGCGUGAGUGAUGAAGGUCUUCGGAUCGUAAAACUCUGUUAUUAGGGAAGAACAAAUGUGUAAGUAACUAUGCACGUCUUGACGGUACCUAAUCAGAAAGCCACGGCUAACUACGUG